rnacentral:rRNA from 1 species
GACGAACGCUGGCGGCGUGCUUAACACAUGCAAGUCGAACGAAGUGGCGCACGGGUGAGUAACGCGUAAUCCACCUGGCCUUGAAUAGGGGACAACAGUUGGAAAAGAGUGCUAAUACAGCAUAAUGCAGGAUGGGGUUGCGGCUGAUUCGCUAGUUGGGGGGGUAACGGCCCACCAAGGCGAUGAUAAGUAGCCGGUCCGAGAGGCUGAACGGCCACAUUGGGAAUGUGACCCGGCCCAGACUCCUACGGGAGGCAGCAGUGGGGAAUCUUCCGCAAUGGACGAAAGUCUGACGGAGCAACGCCGCGUGAGUGAUGACGGCCUUCGGGUUGUAAAGCUCUGUUAAUCGGGACGCGUUACCGGAAUAGAAAGCCACGGCUAACUACGUGCCAGCAGCCGCGGUAAUUC